UCCGCGGUCGGGGUCGCAUCACCGCUGAUCCCUGCGCGGGCAGGACCGCAUCACAAAUAGUCCCUCCGGCGGAUCACUCCGCGGGCGUGUCGCAUCACCGCUGAUCGCUCCGCGGGCAGGACCGCAUCACAAAUAGUCCCUCCGGCGGAUCACUCCGCGGCCAGACCGCAGCACCGCGGGUGCCUCCGGCGGAUCCCUCUGUUAUAAAUGGGAGUAUUUCCUGCUUCGUUGAGGAAAUUGUUCCCGCUGCGCCAGAGACACUCCUCUCCUAUCGCUGUUGAGCUCAGUACCCACCCUGCUGGUCUGUGUUCUCCCCUUAUCCUUGUCCGAUUCCACUUAAGGAGUUCCAUUGGGCUCAAGCUACUGCCUUUCCAUGGCCAUUCCUCUGUCAUCAGAGGCCCUCCACAGACGCAGCAGUUGGUUACAUUCAAUUCCUUACCUAUCCUUUCCCCUAAUUCCACAAACAGGUUUUUUUUCUCAAUUUUGAGAUUUCAUUUUCUAAAUUUUUGUUUGAGUUUCACAUACAUGUCUUGAAUUGGGGUCGAUACAGAGUUAGAUUGUU